rnacentral:misc_RNA from 1 species
AGUUAAUGUAAGAAACUCAUAAUAUAAUACAGCUCUUAAUCACAUUAAAAAUUAUCAAACCUUAAUCUUUCUUGACGUAUUUGAUUAAAUUAUAUACAAUGAAUGAAAACAACAUACAUUCGGUUGUGAUAAAGGCUAUCAAAGAAUCAAGGGUUAUCCUAUAUGACCUACUCAACAAUUUUAAUUACAAUAAGUUCCCAUUAUCAGCCAGUAAGGCGAAAAUCAUGAAGCAGCAAUCAGCAUUUACAAUAUGUACAAAAUUGCCAGAAAAAAUCUAUUUGAUGGUUUUUAUCGACUGUACACAUGACACGUGGAUUACCGUAACUAAAAUGAGAACUCUGGAGAGGAUGGCAAGAAUAAAUCAGUUAGUCGUGUUAAGGUAAUAUCCAUGCAUUUAGAUCAAUCGAAAUCACGUGGCCGAGUGGGACCCAGAUACUUGUCCAUUGACUGUUUCUUGCGCUCAGGAUCAAGGCUAUUUCUUAGGCCAAGAAAAGCAUAAUGUGCUGCACUUGCAAAAGCAGAAACUGGAGCUAUAGCAGCAGCAGGAACACCUCGUAUAGCAGUUGCCAAGGCAGAUCCUGCACUGGCUCCACGCUGGUACUUCUUCAAUGGUGCCUGAACUAAAACAGAAGCAGAUUUCCCUAGGCCAUCACUGAGGCUCUCAUAUGCCUAUCAAAUUGAAAACAUCAAAUCCUUGGGAAAAGUAUUGGUUGCACACACAUCAAUUUAUUUCGUAAAACAUUUUAAAGAGCACAGUGAUACACACUACCAAUCUUAUUAUGCUGUGUUUUUACUCCCAUUGAAAAAAAAAUGAAAAUAUAAUUUAGAAGAAACAGCUUUUAGGUGUUAUAAGCAAUAUCAUGAGCAACCAUGCAAAACACAAAGUAUAUUGUAAUGUUCACCUGCUGAAUUCCUUGUUGGGCACUUUUUGGCUGAUUAUAUCUCACAUUAGGCUUUGUUUUGGCUUUUACAGGCCAUGAUACAGGAGGAAUCCUUGUGAGAAUAUAUUCUGCUUGGAGCAAAAUCUCGUGAGCUCCCGCUGCCAAAUGCACCCCAAGUCCAAUAGCUUCAAGUGAUAUACUUCUAAGAAAUGCAAUUGUACCUCUCUGCAUUCCUUUAAGCACUCUCUGAUCCUUCUUAUAGCUCUCAACAGGCAAAGAAACAAGCUUUGCUGCACCAGCACCAACAGCAACCAAGGAUCUGAUGGUAGGAAGGCCUUGCAAAACUUUAUGCAUCUGAUUUUGAGAAAUAUCCUCCAGCCACUCCCCGAUGGUCGUUUCACAUACAUUGCCCCAGCCAUAGACACCAACAGCAUGAACACAUUUGAGUUGAAGCUCAACCCCCUUCCAAGGGACAAGGUUUACAAGUUCCACAUACUUUCCACCUCCCAACGCUGCUAGAUCUACGUGAUGGGGACUGUAGUCAACCCGAAGAACAGUAGGCCAUACAUCAAACUUCUGAAAAUAGGGAAGCAAUGCCUCAUCUGCAAUUCUAUGUCCUGCAAGAUUUUUUGUUGCAUGUGGUUUUGCACCACCUGAAUUUUGAUUAGGAUCUGAAAACUGAUCAGUUGAUAAGCCUUUUGCACCAAAAAAGCCAAUGAGAAAAUCAAGUUGGCUCUGAUGAAGUUGCAAUAGCAUAGGAAGCAAAGCUAUGCGCAACCGGUACUCCUCAAGAGGGGUUAAAGGAUCUGGUCUGACAGCUUCCAAGCCUAGCUUAAGUGCUUUUGAAGAGGAUUCCCUAGGAUGAUCUUUUGAACGAUAAUAUCCCAGUACCCGUUUCCAAGGUGCAGAUUUGCUCCUGUCAUAAAGGUAAAAGUCCUGAACUGAAAGAGAAAGCUUAGAAGCACAUAUUCCACCAACAGGGAACAGGUCGUAUUGAAAUUGUGUCCCAGAUAGUACAAGCUCUAGACAAGUAGUUGUAUCCCUUCCAUGAAGACUUCUAGAAGACCCACCAUUCUUUUCAUGUGUAUGCCAAUCAGAACCAGCAAACAUUCUCCAGCUUACAUUAAUGUUCUUAAGAAGUACACACCCCAUGGGCUUUCCAAAAUUAUCAGCUCUUAUACGGUCAGAAGAUGAAAGCUUGUCUUCCAAAACCUUAUUCAAGCUGGCUUCUUCACUUUCUUCAGAAAUGUGAUUUUCAAUAAUGCUUAAAGAAGUAUCCUUAUACCAUCCACUAUUUCCUCUUCCAAGAUCUCCAUCCCCAAAAUUCCUGGAUCGGGAUUUAAUAAUCUCAGAUGGCAACUGCCUGCCAAAGGACAAUUCUGACAAUGGGCGUAACUCAGACAAGCAAUAGCCUUCUAUAAGUUCUGGCAAGGAACCAUUCUGUAAAUAUGAGGUUUGACUACUUUCUAGUCCUAUUAGAGGAGUAGACCCAUCAAAAAAUACAUCAUCAGAGACAAAUUCAGGAGCUCUAAUACUUGGGCAGAAGGCCUCUCCAAGGAGGCUUUCAUCAAAUGAAACAUGAACUUGUGAUUCAUUAGAAUAAUAUUGGCAGUCCUGAUUCCCAUCCAAAUUAAAUGCAUCUUCAUAUAUCUCAUCCAUUAAACCAACAAUCCCCAGUUUAUUAUUUGCAUCACCACUAGAGGCAUGCACUUGACAUGUUAACAAAGCUGAAUUAUUAUCGGGUGUCCUACAAUCGUCAUUGAAUUCAUUUCUCUCUUGGGAUUGAUGAACAUUAUUCCACCGAGUCUGCAAGUGCACAAUUGAUUCCUCCAAAUCAGGGGCAAAAAGCUGCUGGAGUUGAGCAGCCAACAGAAUCAAACCAGAGGUAGUGUCAUGGCAGGUUUCCACACAGAUGUGGGAUUCUGAACAUUCUAACUCCCAUGAAAGACCAUUCUUACAGUUGGUUCUUAAAAUUGCUUCAACAAAUGCCUCCUGUGCAACUUUAACAUAACCCAUCUCAUGAAGAUGCUCCACACUGUAAGUGCCACCAAGAUUCUCAAAUGCUGCACAAAGAAGGAACCCCAAAUCUUGCACUAUAAUUCUGUAAUCAUUGCCCAUAGAACCCUCUGUAGUAGUAUUCAAAAGAGUCAAGGAAGAUGCAGCUAACAGACAAGCAACAUAUGGCUCACUUGUUUCAUCUUUCAAAUAUGAGGAACUGGACUCAGAAUUGAGAUCAGUAACCACUGAAUUCUUCAAAUGGGGCUCAUAACUUAAACCAAUAUCAACCAAUUUGAGAAUGAAAGCUAUUACACAAGGUGCAUUCAUAUCCCCCUCUGGCAAAUUAUCAUCACCCGCUUUCUCGAUUUCACGCGCAGGCAUGGUGAAAAAGGAGGAUAUUGCAUCAAACCAAUCCAAGCGACCACCAACAGCCACAAUUGUGCCACAUCUGACAGUAAUAGAUGUAAAUUCAUGUAUGUUUAUUGGAUCCCAUAGAUGUAUAAUAUCAGAACCAGCCAACCUAGACGAUAAUGCAUUUGAACCUCCUCCAUCACCACGUUUCCUUGUAGAGUUGCUACAAGAAAUCAGAAGAAACUCCUUAUCUGGAACCCCAGUGAUUGAACCCCACAAUUUACCUUCUCCAUGGGCUAGCCAAAAGAAAUUGGCACCCCCAAUCCCUCCAAUAUUUGAAACAGACAACAUAUCAAGCUUCUGAACUUUCAAUUUUAAACAAUGCCAUGAUCCAGGAAGUUCACUCUGCAAUGAAUUUUUCACAUCCUCCUUCAUAUCUGGUCUAAUUAAAAUCUCUACGGAAGCACAUUCCACAAGGAUUGAUGCUUGAGAUACAGACAAAAAUUCGCCAGCAUUUACUGGGUCACAGGAUGCUCCUGAUAAUCUAUUAAUCAUCUGAUCCAAAAGAUUAUGCAAAUUAUCAUAUUGAGAACUGCCAAGAUCAAUGGAAACAGAAAAUAGAUGAAUAUGCAGGAAAAAUGCAGAGCUCAAAAUUAUCUCCUUCCGAGUUUGAGAAUUCGUGUCUUCCAGAUCCUUCACAGAAGUUACAGAGACAAAUUCAUAACCUUUCGCUGCAGUUUUUUUCCUGCUCCUAGAUUCCUCUGAAGUAGCCAAGGACUUGGCUCUCUCAGCUAUGCAAGGACCGGUCACAGAACCCUCCUGCCAAAUCAUACUAACAGUAGAAGGACAACCACCUCUGUUGCUGAUGGAUAAAAUCUUCUGAGCACAAAAUGUCUGCCUUGGCACACCAGAGGAGUUGCUUCCAGCAUCACUUUGACUUGUAGGAUUGACCAAGUAAAUAUUUAGAUUACCAACAUUCAUAUGCAAAGAGCUAGAAGCCUUUGGAGUAUAACUUUUCCAAGAACUGGUAUCUGACAAUAAACUAGUGUCUUGAACAUUUCCCUUGUCAAAAGAUGAUGGUGAGGUAAAGUCAAAAGCAAUAAAUUGAACCCAGGAAAAGUAGCUCUCAAUAUCUUUGACAGUUCCAAAGGGGAAACAUAUAAUUAUCCUCGCAUUAGGGAUUGAUAUAUUGCCUUCUAAUUUUUCUGCAGAAGACAAUGUUGCAACACCAGUACAUGAACCCCUUUCCACAUUGCCAAGAGAUGAUCCACACUUUUGAUUGACAGGAGAAAAUUCAUCUUUCUUACUGUACAUUUUCACAUAUUCUCCAAUGUCCUUCAGAAGAUCCAAUAACAAAUGUAUAGACCAGAAGUUCACCCAAAAUAUGAAAUGUGGCAAUCGCAAUGAAAAUGAUGUUGAACCUUUUACACGUCCAUCUAAUGAAUCAGAAUUUAUAGUAAAUUGGCAAUGAGUGACACCUGAGGUACUAAGCAAUUUGACUUUUGUCAUAUUUCUAAAAACAAAAUUUGAAGCAUUUUGAACACUUAAUUCAUCUAAAUCAGGAUUUUUCACAGAUAAGGCCAACAGAGGAAGAGCAGCUUGAACGUCUCCUUGCAGAUAUUGAAUAGAAAGAGUUUGAUUUCUGCUAUCAGUACUACACUCUAUCAAGUGAAGGUUUGUGAUAUCAUUUUCAUUGCAGGAGUAAUCAGCAACCUCAAUAUACUGCACUUUUCCUUCAAAUCUCAUUUCUUGAGUACAUACCUGCAAAGCAACAAAAAUGUCUUUGCACUCAGUGAUCAUAUAGUGAACAUGUAAGCCAUUACUAUGAUCAUCCUUUGGACCACACAAAUACUCCUGAUCUUCAUCUUGGAAAGAUAAUAUGAUAGAAAUUCCAGCCAAAGUCGCUUGAAGGUUAGUCUGAACAUGCUGCUGCUCCAAGGGGAUAUGCAAAGAUCCAGAAGCAAGACUGGAUGCAGCAGUUAAUGCACUGAAAACAGAACUUGUCCAGUUCCACAUUCCACUGCUUCCUAGUGCAGAUUGUGAACUUCUCAUUCCAUCAAAACAUUCAAAGAACUGGUCCACACUUGCCCCAAGAUCAAGUUCUUCUUGGCAAUCAUCUUUAUUAUUGUCUUUUACAGAAUUCGAAACCCAAUCAGGUAUAAGAUGUGAUCCAGCUAGCAUAGCUUCACUCGUUGAUUCUUGCAUAGUCAAAGAAUAAAAAGCAGAGGAAAAAGAACCAUGAUCAGGGAUCACAUUAUCAGGGGCAACCAUAGCAGGAAUGGAAGUUGAUGAACAAAAAUGAGAAGCAGAGUUCAAAUCAACAUUGUCUGUUGAAUUGCUUUGCAUCUCCUUAUCCAAAGUCUUAUAAGUUUCCCAUGAAAAUAACAACCACUUAAUUGCACUAGGUUGACACCUCAAUUCCACAGGAUCAAUGGAAAUGUUUGCAUCCACUUUACGAAUAUCUAAGGAACCAUUCUUCCAAGGGAUAUUCAGCUUUAAACUCCCUGAAAAUCCACCAUUACUCCCAGUCACAACUGGAGUCGUGGCAUUAGAUGGACAGUGCCCUGAUAACAAAUCACCAAAACUUGAACCUACUGGACAAGGAAAACAAGUUUGAUUAUCAACAUCAUCCAUCUGAAGUAGUUCAAGUACUGCUCCUUGAAAUGUUAUAAAGCUUGUUAGCUGACUUAUUCCGAGAAAGUUCUCAACUCUUGCAUCAGAAUUUGACUUAGCAUCUUCAGAAACACAAGUUCCACAUUCUGCUUCAGAUAUUCGAAGAACCAAGGUUUUCUGAUGACCAGCCUUCUUCUCAUCCUCUGAUUCUGGUUCAAAUGCAACAAUUAAUUUUUUGACAUUAACAUGGAAGCUUGUCAGAAACCAUUUAACCACCUUUGCAAUUGUCUUAACACCUUCAUGAACAACAGUUGAACUAGAUUUUGCAGAAUUAUCCAUCAUAUCAUGCCCAUGACUUCCUCCCUCACUUUGCAUAUCAAUAUUACUAUCUUGAUCAAAACCAUCAUUCUCAUCUCCUGCAGGUGAUUGAUUCCUUGGACAAGGUGUAAGCGCAAGCACAAGCUCAAGCUCAUCUAACUCAACCUGAAAACCUUUACUCUUCCAAGGCAUUUUAACUGAUAGAGAACCAAUUGAUCCUUCUUUUACAAUCACUGAUGUGGAACCAAUCUUGUGGUUAAGAUAAUCAACAUUAAGAGCAAGAUCAUUAAGCUGGAUGAUGCCUUGGCUGAGCUGGAUAUCAAGCUGGUUAAGAUCGAUAUCCCCCAACAAGAAUUGUCCUAAUUUCUUCUUCAACAAGAACUUGAAAAGCCGCUUCACCGCCCACUCCGAGAAAACGGCCUCCGCCGAUUUCGCUAGGCUCCAGGAAAACAUCUUAAAUCCUCUUCUCUGUCGCCUGUAGCCUAAUGUUCUCGUUGCUGCAACCUGCAAAAUUGAGGUGGAAUCUAAUGGAGUCCGAAAAGUGGAGGACUACUUAGGGUCUGCGAUGAGGAGAAAUUAGGGUUACGGUUUGUUGCUCGUGAUGGAAGAUGGGAAGUCCUCCAUCCAGAGGAUUUGGGUUUUCUAUAGAGAAAGAGAAGCGGUCACUCAGGCGCAGACAAGUAAUUGAAUUGUUAACUCGUUAUAGUGGAGGUUCCGUGCUGUAGUUUGUCUGGGUUCUUUU